AUUUAAAUAGUUUAAAUUUAAAAUAUUAAUUUGUGAUAUUAAAGAUUUAAUUAAAUUAAUUUAAAUU
rnacentral:tRNA from 1 species